rnacentral:rRNA from 1 species
GACGGGGGAUGCAAGUGUUAUCCGGAAUCACUGGGCGUAAAGCGUCUGCAGGUGGUUUCCUAAGUCCACUGUUAAACCUUGAGGCUCAACCUCAAAUCUGCAUUGGAAACUAGGAGACUUGAGUAUAGUAGGGGUAGAGGGAAUUUCCAGUGGAGCGGUAGAAUGCGUAGAUAGUGGAAAGAACACCGAUGGCGAAGGCACUCUACUGGGCUAUUACUGACACUCAGAGACGAAAGCUAGGGGAGCAAAUGGG